rnacentral:rRNA from 1 species
GAUGAACGCUGGCGGCGUGCCUAAUACAUGCAAGUCGAGCGAACAGACGAGAGUGCUUGCACUCUCUGACGUUAGCGGCGGACGGGUGAGUAACACGUGGGUAACCUACCUAUAAGACUGGGAUAACUUCGGGAAACCGGAGCUAAUACCGGAUAAUAUUUAGCUUCGCAUGAAGCAAUAGUGAAAGACGGUUCUGCUGUCACUUAUAGAUGGACCCGCGGUGUAUUAGCUAGUUGGUGAGGUAACGGCUCACCAAGGCAACGAUACAUAGCCGACCUGAGAGGGUGAUCGGCCACACUGGGACUGAGACACGGCCCAGACUCCCACGGGAGGCAGCAGUAGGGAAUCUUCCGCAAUGGACGAAAGUCUGACGGAGCAAUGCCGCGUGAGUGAAGAAGGUUUUCGGAUCGUAAAACUCUGUUGUAAGGGAAGAACAAGUACGUUAGUAACUGAACGUACCUUGACGGUACCUUACCAGAAAGCCACGGCUAACUACGUG